rnacentral:rRNA from 1 species
ACGAACGCUGGCGGCGUGCUUAACACAUGCCAGUCGAACGGAAAGGCCCUGCUUUUGUGGGGUGCUCGAGUGGCGAACGGGUGAGUAACACGUGAGUAACCUGCCCUUGACUUUGGGAUAACUUCAGGAAACUGGGGCUAAUACCGGAUAGGAGCUCCUGCUGCAUGGUGGGGGUUGGAAAGUUUCGGCGGUUGGGGAUGGACUCGCGGCUUAUCGGCUUGUUGGUGGGGUAGUGGCUUACCAAGGCUUUGACGGGUAGCCGGCCUGAGAGGGUGACCGGCCACAUUGGGACUGAGAUACGGCCCAGACUCCUACGGGAGGCAGCAGUGGGGAAUAUUGCACAAUGGGCGGAAGCCUGAUGCAGCAACGCCGCGUGCGGGAUGACGGCCUUCGGGUUGUAAACCGCUUUCGCCUGUGACGAAGCGUGAGUGACGGUAAUGGGUAAAGAAGCACCGGCUAACUACGUG